CUUUUUUUUUUUUAAAGACAGGAUGAAAUGAUAGCAAAUCCAACUUUGUUUACAGUUAAUUUUAUUUUUUUUUUUCAAGAAUGAUCAUUAUAAAUUGCCCUAUCAAUAUUAAGCAUUAUCCUUGGAGACCUGUUGGACAGAACUAGUCCCGAACUGGAGGAGGAGCAGAGGAGACAUUAUGCUCUUAUCUGUUUGUGCAGAAGCCUGGGGUGCUUGUAAUAACAGCAGUACUGGACUGUGCACAGAGAGCCUGUUCUGAAAGUGUUGGUUCACAUUCUCCUGUAUGAGGUAGGGAAGAAAACAGUUGAGCUUUUGCACAGUGUGCUUGCUAAGCUGUCAUCAGGUACAGAAGAUCUGAAGAUAAAGAAGCUUUUGAAGACAGUGAAACAGACAGAAAUACUGGUAAAUGCAGAAUAAUGAGUAAAUGAGCUACCAAACCAGAGAAGGCUUCUUGCAAUUUUGGAAUCAAAUCUGCAGGACCUGGAGAGACCACUGGCUCUGGC
rnacentral:lncRNA from 1 species